GGCCUGUCUUAAGAUAAUGAGUUAUCUCAAUUGAUUAUUCACAGUUACAGAUGAAAUUCCUUGUUUUACUUUCCCCACUUCUCACUAUUGCACUUGACUAGUCUUAA
ensembl:misc_RNA Y_RNA Y RNA